UACGAACGGUCCAAACGUUAUUCGGAAUCACUGGGCUUAAAGCGUCCGUAGGCGGCUCGGAAAGUAGGGUGUGAAAUCCCACGGCUCAACCGUGGAAUUGCGCUCUAAACUAUCGAGCUAGUGGGAGAUAGAGGUGAGCGGAACUGAUGGUGGAGCGGUGAAAUGCGUUGAUAUCAUCAGGAACACCGGAGGCGAAGGCGG
rnacentral:rRNA from 1 species